CAGUAGCCGCGGGAAUACGUAGGUCCCGAGCGUUGUCCGGAUUUAUUGGGCGUAAAGCGAGCGCAGGCGGUUAGAUAAGUCUGAAGUUAAAGGCUGCGGCUUAACCAUAGUUCGCUUUGGAAACUGUUUAACUUGAGUGCAAGAGGGGAGAGUGGAAUUCCAUGUGUAGCGGUGAAAUGCGUAGAUAUAUGGAGGAACACCGGUGGCGAAAGCGGCUCUCUGGCUUGUAACUGACGCUCAUGCACGAAAGCGUGGGGAGCAAACAGGAUUAGAGACCCCGGUAGUCCCUGUCUCUUAUACA
rnacentral:rRNA from 1 species